rnacentral:tRNA from 1 species
GGGAUGUAGCUCAGUGGUACAGCUCUUGCCUGGCAUGCAUGAAGUCCUGGAUUCAAUCCCCAGUACUGCCC